AUUGAACGCUGGCGGCAGGCCUAACACAUGCAAGUCGGACGAGUGGCGGACGGGUGAGUAAUGUCUGGGAAUCUGCCUGAUGGAGGGGGAUAACUACUGGAAACGGUAGCUAAUACCGCAUACCAUCAAAUGAACCCAUAUGGGAUUAGCUUGUUGGGGGGGUAACGGCUCACCAAGGCGACGAUCCCUAGCUGGGCUGAGAGGAUGAACAGCCACACUGGGACUGAGACACGGUCCAGACUCCUACGGGAGGCAGCAGUGGGGAAUAUUGCACAAUGGGCGCAAGCCUGAUGCAGCCAUGCCGCGUGUAUGAAGAAGGCCUUAGGGUUGUAAAGUACUUUCAGCGGGGAGGCGUUACCCGCAGAAGAAGCACCGGCGAACUCCGGGCCAGCCGCCGCGGUAAUAC
rnacentral:rRNA from 1 species